ensembl:snRNA U6 U6 spliceosomal RNA
GUGCUCACUUCGGCAGCACAUAUACUGAAAUUGGAACAAUACAGAGACAAUUAGCAUGGCCCCUGCGCAAGGAUGACACACAAAUCCGUGAAGUGGUCCAUAUUUUU